AGUGAACGCUGGCGGUAGGCCUAACACAUGCAAGUCGAACGGCAGCACAGUAAGAGCUUGCUCUUACGGGUGGCGAGUGGCGGACGGGUGAGGAAUACAUCGGAAUCUACUUUUUCGUGGGGGAUAACGUAGGGAAACUUACGCUAAUACCGCAUACGACCUACGGGUGAAAGCAGGGGAUCUUCGGACCUUGCGCGAUUGAAUGAGCCGAUGUCGGAUUAGCUAGUUGGCGGGGUAAAGGCCCACCAAGGCGACGAUCCGUAGCUGGUCUGAGAGGAUGAUCAGCCACACUGGAACUGAGACACGGUCCAGACUCCUACGGGAGGCAGCAGUGGGGAAUAUUGGACAAGGGGCGCAAGCCUGAUCCAGCCAUACUGCGUGGGUGAAGAAGGCCUGCGGGUUGUAAAGCCCUUUUGUUGGGAAAGAAAAGCAGCAGGUUAAUACCCCGCUGUUCUGACGGUACCCAAAGAAUAAGCACCGGCUAACUUCGU
rnacentral:rRNA from 1 species